UACGUAGGGGGCAAGCGUUGUCCGGAUUUAUUGGGCGUAAAGAGCGUGUAGGCGGCCUGGUAGGUCAGCUGUGAAAACUCGAGGCUCAACCUCGAGACGCCGGUUGAAACCAUCAGGCUAGAGUCCGGAAGAGGAGAGUGGAAUUCCCGGUGUAGCGGUGAAAUGCGCAGAUAUCAGGAAGAACACCAACGGCGAAGGCAGCUCGCUGGGACGGUACUGACGCUGAGACGCGAAAGCGUGGGGAGCGAACAGG
rnacentral:rRNA from 1 species